GCACCCCAUGAAGUGAGGACUAAUUAUUAGCCUACUUUGCUGAAGAAGGGAUGAGGCUUAGAGACAUUAAACAACAUGCUAGUAAGGGACAGAAGUAGAGUGAGCAACAUUAGCAAGAAGAAAUCAUCGGGCAUCUAUCAUGACUUGGGGUCCUGUGCUGGUUGCUGACUACGGAUGUUUAGUUAUCCCCAAAGUGUGAUAAUUGCUUUAAGUACAGGUUGCCCCCGCUAUCCGAAAGUAGAAUGCUUCUGUGAAACUCUUCGUGAGCCAGUGUUGUAAACUGAGGAGGUACCAUCUUUAUGCUGUUGACUCUCAAACCUAUCUGGAGCCAAGAUCUUACAGCCCUGGAGGCCGAGCUGUUCACUGGCUGCCUUCACAUGAAUGAGCACGGAGAAUUAUAACGCUACAAGUCCAAGCUCUUCCCUGGUGUCCUUCUACCCACACUGGCCCUCGUGUUCCUGCUCAGCGAACACCCCUUCCCUC